GUGGGGAAUAUUGGGCAAUGGGGGCAACCCUGACCCAGCGACGCCGCGUGGGUGAAGAAAUCCUUCGGGAUGUAAAGCCCUGUUGUAUGGGAAGAGCAGAAGACGGUACCAUACGAGGAAGCCCCGGCAAACUACGUGCCAGCAGCCGCGGUAAUACGUAGGGGGCAAGCGUUGUCCGGAAUUACUGGGCGUAAAGCGCACGCAGGCUGAAUUAUAAGUCGGUAGUCAAAUACGGAGGCUCAACUUCCGGAUAUCUAUCGAUACUGUAAAUCUAGAGUAUGUGAGAGGGAAGCGGAAUGCCCGGUGUAGCGGUGAAAUGCGUAGAUAUCGGGAGGAACACCAGUGGCGAAGGCGGCUUCCUGGCACAAUACUGACGCUCAUGUGCGAAAGCUAGGGCAGCGAACGGGAUUAGAAACCCCUGUAGUCC
rnacentral:rRNA from 1 species